CCUACGGGUGGCAGCAGUGAGGAAUAUUGGUCAAUGGGCGGGAGCCUGAACCAGCCAAGCCGCGUGAGGGAAGAAGGUACAGCGUAUCGUAAACCUCUUUUGUCAGGGAACAAAGGCGGGGACUAGUCCCCGGAUGAGGGUACCUGAAGAAAAAGCAUCGGCUAACUCCGUGCCAGCAGCCGCGGUAAUACGGAGGAUGCGAGCGUUAUCCGGAUUUAUUGGGUUUAAAGGGUGCGAAGGCGGCCUGUUAAGUCAGCGGUAAAAGCCCGGGGCUCAACCCCGGCGAGCCGUUGAAACUGGCGGGAGUGAGUGAGAGGAAAGUACGCGGAAUGCGUGGUGGAGCGGUGAAAUGCUUAGAUAUCGCGAAGAAACCCGAGUGCGAAGGCAGCAUACGGGCGCCACACUGACGCUGAGGCACGAAGGCGUGGGUAUCGAACAGGAUGAGAUACCCGAGUAGUC
rnacentral:rRNA from 1 species